AUCCUCGAUUCGCCGAAAUUCGACAGUUGACCGGGUCUGCAAAUUUCGGGCCAGACAGACCCGUGACCGGAAAAGUCUCCGAAUUGGGCCGAGGUUUUGGCUAGCCCCCCAUUGUCAGACGUCCCGAGCGCGUCCCGGAAGUCGGAAUCGGCAAAGGUGAGUCGGGACAGCCUUCUUCCUCCGCCCAGCCGCCACAGUAAUUUGUCGUCAAGUCUGCCACAGGAGGAUAUUUUGUUCUGGGUUAACCUGCCUUUUUACCUAGCAGGUUGUUUAUCAAUAUUGUGUAAUUUUAAUUACUCCUAGAAUUUCCGCAUGUGUUAGCAGUAAUUAUUUGAAAUUGAUCUGUAAUAUUAUAUUCAUGUUGGACCUGUAAACUUAAUAUUUUAAGUCUGUUUGAUGGAUUGGAUGAGGGAGCUGAGCUCCCAUUUAUUAUUAUGUUGAUGAGUAUGUGGAGGAUGAGCUGAGCUCCCCAAUGGAUUGUUUAUUGUGUUUACAGGUCGGGUGAGUCGAA